GACGAACGCUGGCGGCGUGCCUAAUACAUGCAAGUCGAACGCACAGUUUAUACCGUAGCUUGCUACACCAUAGACUGAGAGUUGCGAACGGCUGAGUAACCCGUAGCUAACCUGUCUGGUAGCGGGGGAUAACUAUUGGAAACGAUAGAUAAUACCGCAUAAUAUUAAUUAUUGCUUGAUAAUUAUUUGCAAGGUGCAAUUGCACCACUACUAGUUGGACCUGUGUUGUAUUAGCUAGUAGGUGAGGUAACGGCUCACCUAGGCGACGAUACAUAGCCGACCUGAGAGGGUGAUCGGCCACACUGAGACUGAGACACGGCCCAGACUCCUACGGGAGGCAGCAGUAGGGAAUCUUCGGCAAUGGACGAAAGUCUGACCGAGCAACGCCGCGUGAGUGAAGAAGGUUUUCGGAUCGUAAAGCUCUGUUGUAAGAGAAGAACGGGUGUGAGAGUGGAAAGUUCACACUGUGACGGUAUCUUACCAGAAAGGGACGGCUAACUACGUG
rnacentral:rRNA from 1 species